rnacentral:rRNA from 1 species
AGAGUUUGAUCCUGGCUCAGAACGAACGCUGGCGGCGUGUCUUAAGCAUGCAAGUCGAGCGGCAAGGCGGGGCAACCCGCCCUAGAGCGGCGGACUGGUGAGUAACGCGUGGGUGAUCUGCCCUUGGGAUGGGGAUAGCCACUAGAAAUAGUGGGUAAUACCGAAUACGCUUCCAUGGCCGCGGCCAUGGAAGGAAAAGCGCUACGGCGCUGCCCGAGGAUGAGCCCGCGUCCCAUUAGCUAGUUGGUGAGGUAACGGCCCACCAAGGCGAUGAUGGGUAGCCGGCCUGAGAGGGUGUACGGCCACACUGGGACUGAGAUACGGCCCAGACUCCUACGGGAGGCAGCAGCUAAGAAUAUUCCGCAAUGGACGAAAGUCUGACGGAGCGACGCCGCGUGGAUGAUGAAGGCCGUGAGGUUGUAAAAUCCUUUUGUCGGGGAAGAAUAAGCGUGGGAGGGAAUGCCCGCGUGAUGACAUGAACCGGCGAAUAAGCCCCGGCCAACUACGUGCCAGCAGCCGCGGUAACACGUAGGGGGCAAGCGUUGUUCGGAAUUACUGGGCGUAAAGGGCAUGUAGGCGGUUACGUAAGCCUGACGUGAAAGGCUAUGGCUCAACCAUGGCACUGCGUUGGGAACUGCGGGACUUGAAUCACGGAGAGGGAGCUGGAAUUCCAGGUGUAGGGGUGAAAUCUGUAGAUAUCUGGAAGAACACCAGUGGCGAAGGCGAGCUCCUGGCCGAUGAUUGACGCUGAGGUGCGAAAGUGUGGGGAUCAAACAGGAUUAGAGACCCUGGUAGUCCACACUGUCAACGAUGUGCACUAGGUGCUGGGGCGGACGCUUCAGUGCCGGAGCUAACGCGGUAAGUGCACCGCCUGGGGAGUAUGCUCGCAAGGGUGAAACUCAGAGGAAUUGACGG